rnacentral:ncRNA from 1 species
GUCUAAGUACAAAACAGAGUUUAAUGUGAAACCGGCAUAAGGGCUCAGUAUAACAGCUAUAAUUUACAACGAUCAUUUAACUAGUUACUUGGAUAACUGUGGAAAAUCUAGAGCUAAUACAUGCAAAAUGCAGGAACCUCGCGGAACCUGUGCAAUUAUUAGUCAAACCAAUCGUCAUCCGUGACGCUGGAGUUGAAAUCUGGAUAAUUUUGUUAAUCGUAUGGUCUCGCACCGACGACAGAUCUUUCAAAUAUCUGCCCUAUCAACUAUUGAUGGUAGUAUAGAGGACUACCAUGGUUGCAACGGGUAACGGGGAAUCAGGGUUCGAUUCCGGAG